rnacentral:sRNA from 1 species
CUUCACCACGCUGUAAGAACAUUCUAAGAACUGAGACUCUAUCAAAACAUUACAGCAUCUUCUCUCUUCCUCCCUGUUGUUCAUUCACUGAGGUUAUUUCACUUCGACCACGCAACGAUGCGGCCAGUAGAUCGGGAGAAGAAAGGUCUUAUGACCGACAGCUAGUCGAUUGCAACUGCACUCUGUCAUAUUGUAAAAGGACGGUGGCCUAUGCAAUCCGAAGGCUACAUCGGGCGAAAAUGAAGAAGAUCACCAGUACACACAGCACACAAAGCGAUGCCGCCCAAGAUGACCGCAAGAACAAAAAAGACGAGAGCGGGCCGUCGGCAAAAGGGUAAGGUGUUGUUGUGGGAACCGCUCUAACAACAGAAGGAAGCGUAUAGCGAUCUGUCGGAGAGUUUUAAACAAGGCGUUCACCGAGUCGCACAAUUCCUCGCCUGAAAGGGUAGCUCUCCGAUGCGCUUGUUGAUAACUAGGCUUCAAUUUCCCGCCCCCAUCCUUAGGCACUUAUCAUUCGGUUCCAGUCAAAUGUUCAGCCUCGAGAUACAGAAGAUGUGUCAGAACGUAAUAACGAGGAACGUAUGAGGUCUCGUGUCUUGUGGAGGAUAACAGUCGAUUGGACAUGCAUCAAUCACGCAACGCCGUCGAUCUUCAACUACGCCUCUUCUAUGAUCAGUUUCUCGACAUCAUUACUGUGGACCUCUCCUAACAUCCUUCUUCACCGACAAACCAGAGAUCACCAAUCGCUCCUGCUCAUCUCUGGCCUGCUCAUACUCAUUGACACCGGCUAGGACCGAGACAAAACAAUGACACUACUUUAGUACGUCCACAGCGAAGGAGCUGGUUGACUUGAGUUGUAUAACCAAUUGGUGGGUAAAGUGAAGAAUGUCUACCGUGCGGAUAGGACCAUUGUUAUUGAUACAAGCGCGAUGGCAAGCAGAGUAAGGUUGCUUUGUGAAGCGUUACAGAAAAGAAUCUGUUCAUCAAGGAAGACAGAAGGCUUUCGAUAAGAAGCUCGCGUUGUAUCUGAUAUGUAAAAUAGGGAAAUAUAAAAAUAAGAAGAGCCCACUUCAAUGGAAUAUCAUACUAGGAGGGGUUCCACGGCGAGGCCAC